rnacentral:rRNA from 1 species
CAGAAUACGCCAUGACGCUGGCGGCAGGCUCUACAGAUGCAAGUCGAGCGGAGAGAGGCGCUUGCUACUGAUCUUAGCGGCGGAGUGAGUAAUGCUUAGGAAUCUGCCUAUUAGUGGGGGACAACAUUUCGACAAGGAAUGCUAAUACCGCAUACGUCCUACGGGAGAAAGCAGGGGAUCUUCGGACCUUGCGCUAAUAGAUGAGCCUAAGUCGGAUUAACUAGAUUGGUGGGGUAAAGGCCUACCAAGGCGACGAUCUGUAGCGGGUCUGAGAGGAUGAUCCGCCACACUGGGACUGAGACACGGACCAGACUCCUACGGGAGGCAGCAGUGGGGAAUAUUGGACAAUGGGCGCAAGCCUGAUCCAGACAUGCCGCAGUGUGUGAAGAAGGCCUUAUGGUUGUAAAAGCACAUUUAGCGAAGAGGAGGCUAACUUUAGUUAAUACCUAGAGAUAGUGGACGUUACUCGCCAGAAUAAGCACCGGCUUAAUCUGUGCCAAAAAAACGCGGGAAUACCAGACGGGUGAAGCGUAAACGCGUAUAACGGGCGUAAACGCGCGUAAGGAGUAAUAAGUCAAAGGAAACCCGAGAUUAAUUGGGAAU